CGUGGCGGACGGGUGAGUAACGCGUGGGCAACCUGCCUCGCACUGGGGGAUAACACUUAGAAAUAGGUGCUAACACCGCAUAGCGGCGGGGGCGCAUGCCCCUGCCCUGAAAAACCCAGGUGGUGCGAGAUGGGCCCGCGUCUGAUUAGCUGGUUGGCAGGGUAACGGCCUACCAAGGCGACGAUCAGUAGCCGGCCUGAGAGGGUGGACGGCCACAUUGGGACUGAGACACGGCCCAGACUCCUACGGAAGGCAGCAG
rnacentral:rRNA from 1 species